UUGCAAUGAUGACUCAAAAAAAUCUGUCAAUCCCCUGAGUACUGCCAUUGAUGUCUCCAUGUCUCUGAGCAA
ensembl:snoRNA